ensembl:lncRNA
CCCCAGGCCCCGUCCUGUCCCCGCUGUGGGACACGGCCACCUCUUCCCUCGCAGGGUGACCCGGGCGCUGUGCAUCUUGUCCUGCCCCUGCCCUCUGAGGUUUUUCACCCGCCGGUGUUGUCCCGGUCUCGGGGGGAAGCCCUGUCGCACCGGGCUGGCAAAUGGAAGGAUGGCAACACUGAGGAUACUGCAGCCCCCCGGGGCAGAACGGGACAGCGCCAGGCUCCAGCCCCGAAGCGAGAUGUGAAACCUGGGCUGGCCUCGCACCGGCCUCCGCAGCCAAAGCCCGACUCGGCUUCCCCGCGGCGCCCUUCACCCCGGCACAAGGGCACAUCCCAAACACAGACGGAUCCCUCCGAGCUUCCCGCUUCCCCAAAGGCGCUUCCCUUCCUCGCGCUUUCCCUGCAGCACCUUCCAGGGAAGGUUCCUGGAAGCUCUCCCGAGCAGCAGGGCAGGGAACGGGCUGUGCCCGACGCACCCGGGCAGCCUUCCCCGCACCAGACACACCCCACUCCCCGCUGGAUGAUCCCACCCGAGGCGCAGCACAGCCCCCGGCCCCGGCCCCAGGAGCAUGCCUGCAUUGGAAAAUAUUUUAUUUGAAUAGUAAAUAAUUAUACAGUUGAAACAGUUCUAUCGAAGCACUCUAUAAAUAGCUAACAGUUAAGAAAAUAAUGUGUGUAGAAAAAGAGAUUGCAUCUAAAAGUAAGAGCUGUCGGUUGCACAGGAUCGAAUGGUCAAGGUCGUGUGUUUUCUAGGUAUAAAAGUUAAAACCUUUAUAGCAGAUCCCUUGAAGAAAAGAAAAAAAAAAAAAUAUCCUAAAACGCACAGUGAAAUGGCAGGCGGGGACAAAACCAGCGUCAGAGCAUCUGCGAUCAAAUAAUAUCAAUCUUCAUAAUUAAUAUAAAUAAAUAACGAAUAAAUAACAUAAUUACUCAAACCAACAUAUACAGAUAGUCAACUCGUGAGCUACCUCGGGAAGGGCAAACCGAACGGAAACAGAAGGUUGGCAUGUCACAGUUAAGGCAGUUUCUACAGCAUCUUCUGGAGACCAUCAACAGCGGCGUCAAGGCAUCGGCGGCUGCGGGAACGGGAACCCUCGGGCGGCUCCUCCGGCGGGUCCGGGGUCCCCCGACGGGCGCCGAGGCGAACGAGCGGCCGAACGGAGGGAGGGACCCGGCGGCGGGCGCGAAGCCGGGCUCCAGCGGUUCACCAGCCGGGUUAAAGCUAAUCGUGUGGCGGCCCCGGGCCGUGAGGGGCAGUGCGGGAAGGCACGGGCGGCUCUAGCAGGCGGGCCGCAGCGGCACCUGGAGCAGGAUGACCUGCCUGUUCUCCGACGGGUGGCACUUGUUGAUGUGCCGGGUGAGGCCGGGCGAGCUGUAGAAGGUGGCCGGGCAGUACUUGCAGGGGAAGACCUGCGCGGCGUGCAGCAGGCGGAGGUGCCGCUCCUGGCUGCUCUUGCUGGGGAAGGUCUCCCCGCACACCGGGCACAGGCGGCACUCGGCGGGCGGCGGCGCGGGCGGCUCCUCGGCGGCGGGCUCAGGGGCCGGGGCCGGUGCGGCUCCCGGCGCGGGUGCCGGUGGCGGGUGGCCCAGCAGGUGCUUGCGCAGGUAGGCCUGCCGGCGGAACCGCUUGGCGCAGCGGGGGCACUCGAAGAGCCCCUCCUCGGAGCCCGCCUCCGAGCCGCCGCCGGGGCUCGGCGUGUCCCGCUCGCUGCCGCUGCCGCCUCCCGCCUCCUUCGGCGGCUCCUCCGGCGGCGCUCGGCCCGGCUCGGGGCCGGUCUUGGCGGCGGGCGGGCGCGGCUUGUGCCAGCGGCGGUGCGAGGCGAGGUUGGCAGGGCAGGAGAAGACCUUGUCGCACUCGGGGCAGCGGUACUCCACCCGCACGAUGCGGGAGCAGCGGUGCUGCGCCAGCGCGAAGGGGUCCCCGUACUCCUCCUUGCAGAGCUGGCAGAUGAACUCGCCCAGCGGGCGGGCGCAGCCGCCCCGUGCCCGGACCGGCGCCUCCACCGGGCCCUCCUUGAUGCGCAGCCCCAGCACGGGCGACGUGGUCACCUCGUCCUCGAAGGCUGGCGUUUCCUUUGUACGCGUUGGUGGGUCAGUCACAGAAGGGAAGCCUGUGCUUCCAACAGAACUACGACCAGCCCCGCAGUGUGUUCUCUUCGGAAGAUGACUGGUUUGAAGCCUGGGGUUUACAAACCCCUUCUUCUGUAGCUGCAAGUAUGAAAGGUGUGCCGUUACCUGGAGGCACCAUCGGGAAGCAGAUCUGAGCAGUACUUGCUCCACGUUGGGAUGCUGCAGCCAUGUCCUAUCCCAAGUGUCCUCCAGAGAUAUCCUCUGUUAUUUCAGCACUGGAAUUUGGCAACGUUUAGAUACUUGAUGAGAUAGGAGCAGUUAUUGUGCGGCUGGUUCUCACUGAACUGCUCUUUAAACUCUCUGAACUCUGUGCUCUUUAAAACUGAUGUAAAAACAUCGCUCUCGGCUCUUUCUAUAGGAAAUUAGGGCUGACCCUGAAAUGAGGUUUAUUGCAUUUUUUAACACAGUUCUACUUCAAUGCAAUGCAUUAUGAAAAAACAAUUAAAAGGAAAUUAAGUGUGACGCACCAAACCAGCAAACAGGCUGUGUGCAGAGCUAUGAGUGCUUCAGUCCCUGGUUUAUGGAUUCUGAGGCCAGUCACUUGCAAUGGUUUGCAUCAUUAUCAGUGUGAAUCAGCAAGGUCCUGCUGCAAGCGAGUGUGGCCGGCACAGCUGAGCAGCCUUCACCUGCUGAUUGGGACGUGGGGUUUCUUAGUAACCCAGCUCUUCAUUAGCAAGUUACCAGCUCCUUAAAACUGCAGUGCUGUAGAGAAAUCUAAAGCCGUCUAAGGGUCCUGCCAUUUGUACUGCCUGGCUCUGGAAGUACAGCUCUGCCAGUGCACCUCGGGUCAGCAUCUAAUUCUGCUAGCGAAAGAGCUACCAGAUAUCCCUUCCCGUGCUCCUCUUCCCUCAUCCUGUCUGCCUCCUCAUGAAAAGCACACAGAUUUCCCUCUAAUGAGGCCACAAAGCGCACUGAGCAGCAAAGCCCCUCAGCCGCGCUCGUACCUGCCACAUUUCCCUUCUGCUUCCUUUCAUCCCUGCAGAAAAGAAGUCUCACCGCCUGCACGAUGAACAAAAGCCUUAGGUGGAGUCCCUAAGUGAUCACAGCGUGCUAAUGGGGUGGGAGCUGGCAAAUUCCAGCCAGCAGACAUCCGAGUGUUUCUCUUAAUGAACAAUCCCGCUCCAUUUCUGAAUGGCUGGCUUAACAACAGCUUUUCUAUGCAGCAUUCAUGUUUAAAUGUGACAUGCAUUUCAUGUUUAAAUAACCUCUGAUUACCCAGGCUGUAAGUAAUAAAUUUGUAUCUUUACCUUCCCCUUUUAAAGCAAUUAAACUAUCAAAUAUUCUUCUUUUUCUUCUUUGUUCUAUUGUGAGAUGUUAUUAGAGUUGUGUCAAUACAGUCCGGUGUGGUGCUUUCUGCUUAAACUCUC